rnacentral:rRNA from 1 species
UCCUACGGGGGGCAGCAGUGAGGAAUAUUGGUCAAUGGGAGAGAUCCUGAACCAGCCAAGCCGCGUGAGGGAAGACGGCCCUAUGGGUUGUAAACCUCUUUUGUCGGAGAACAAAACCCGGGACGUGUCCCGGACUGCGUGUAUCCGAAGAAAAAGCAUCGGCUAACUCCGUGCCAGCAGCCGCGGUAAUACGGAGGAUGCGAGCGUUAUCCGGAUUUAUUGGGUUUAAAGGGUGCGCAGGCGGAAGAUCAAGUCAGCGGUAAAAUUGAGAGGCUCAACCUCUUCGAGCCGUUGAAACUGGUUUU